UGAAUACGAGACGCUAAGGCGUCGAAGUAGUGUAUGUCAUACUUCCAAGAAAAGCUUGCACUGUCAUAGAUAAAAAACGCCUGUACCAUAACCGACACAGGUGGGUAGGUAGAGUAUACUAAGGGGCGCGAGAUAACUCUCUCUAAGGAACUCGGCAAAAUAACUCCGUGACUUCGGGAGAAGGAGUGCCUUAUUCGUAAGGUUGCAAUAACAAGAUCCAAGCAACUGUUUAUCAAAAACACAGGUCUCCGCUAAGUCGUAAGACGAUGUAUGGGGGCUGACGCCUGCCCAGUGCCAGAAGGUUAAAGAAGUUGGUUAGCAAUUGCGAAGCUGAUAACUGAAGCCCUGGUGAACGGCGGCCGUAACAAUAACGGUCCUAAGGUAGCGAAAUUCCUUGUCGGGUAAGUUCCGACCCGCACGAAAGGCGUAAUGAUUUGGAUACUGUCUCGGAGAGGGGCUCGGUGAAAUAGACUUGUCUGUGAAGAUGCGGACUACCUGCACCAGGACAGAAAGACCCUAUGAAGCUUUACUGUAACUUGAAAUUGAAAUUGGACUUUAUUCGCGCAGCAUAGGUGGGAGGCGUUGAUUAUAAUCUUGCGGGAUUAUUGGAGCCAUCAGUGAGAUACCACUCUUGUAAUGUUAGAUUUCUAACUUUGAAUCAUUAUCUGGUCAAAGAACAGUUUCAGGCGGGCAGUUUGACUGGGGCGGUCGCCUCCUAAACGGUAACGGAGGCGUACAAAGGUUUCCUCUGAACGGUUAGAAAUCGUAUCUAGAGUGUAAAGGCAUAAGGAAGCUUGACUGUGAGACCUACAAGUCGAGCAGGGACGAAAGUCGGUCUUAGUGAUCUGACGGUACUGAGUGGAAAGGCCGUCACUCAACGGAUAAAAGUUACUCUAAGGAUAACAGGCUGAUCUCCCCCAAGAGUUCACAUCGACGGGGAGGUUUGGCACCUCGAUGUCGGCUCAUCGCAUCCUGGGGCGGUAGUACGUCCCAAGGGUUGGGCUGUUCGCCCAUGAAAGCGGUACGCGAGCUGGGUUCAGAACGUCGUGAGACAGUUCGGUCCAUAUCCGGUGUAGGCGUUAGAAUAUUGAGAGGAGCCUUCUUUAGUACGAGAGGACCGAGAAGGACAUACCUCUGGUGUACCAGUUAUCGUGCCAACGGUAAACGCUGGGUAGCUAUGUAUGGAGUGGAUAACCGCUGAAAGCAUCUAAGUGGGAAGCCCACCUCAAGAUAAGUAUUCUCAC
rnacentral:rRNA from 1 species